rnacentral:rRNA from 1 species
ACGAACGCUGGCGGCGUGCUUAACACAUGCACGUCGAACGGAAAGGCCCUGCUUUUGUGGGGUGCUCGAGUGGCGAACGGGUGAGUAACACGUGAGUAACCUGCCCUGACUUUGGGAUAACUUCAGGAAACUGGGGCUAAUACCGGAUAGGAGCUCCUGCUGCAUGGUGGGGGUUGGAAAGUUUCGGCGGUUGGGGAUGGACUCGCGGCUUAUCAGCUUGUUGGUGGGGUAGUGGCUUACCAAGGCUUUGACGGGUAGCCGGCCUGAGAGGGUGACCGGCCACAUUGGGACUGAGAUACGGCCCAGACUCCUACGGGAGGCAGCAGUGGGGAAUAUUGCACAAUGGGCGGAAGCCUGAUGCAGCAACGCCGCGUGCGGGAUGACGGCCUUCGGGUUGUAAACCGCUUUCGCCUGUGACGAAGCGUGAGUGACGGUAAUGGGUAAAGAAGCACCGGCUAACUACGUG